CCCACCUCAACCAGCAGGGCGACGAGCUGUGGUCACUCACCACCUCCCUGGCACAGAGGCUCACCAAGGGAAGCACCAUUUCAGAGCAGAGCAGGAGCUGCAUUUCCUAUAAAAAUGCAAUCACAGGCAGUCUUCAACAGCUUUCCUACUGCUGCUGAAUGGAACUAAGGCUAUGGGCAGGUGACCUCCCACUUUCCAUUACUCAGGUGAAACAUCAACAGAGGGGCAAACAUUGGAGGUCAAAGACAAUCAGUGUGGUUACAAAGAGGAACAGGAUUUAAUCACACCUUCUUUUUUUUUAAAAAUAUGUACAAGAUUAAGUUUGUGAAACAGAUUAGUUCAAAACUUUGACAAAUGGUUGUGCCUCAAUGAUAAAUUUGCCUUAUUUAAGUCACUUAAAGUGCUACUUUGCAGUUUUGCUCAUGAAGGUGAACUGAUUCACAAGAGUUCUUGAGAAUUCAUAA